GCCCAGUCUUCUACUCCCCCUGCUGGACAUGAAGGUGAACUACAAGGCCCAGUCUUCUACUCCCCCUGCUGGACAUGACGGUGAACUACAAGGCCCAGUCUUCUACUUCCCCUGCUGGACAUGACGGUGAACUACAAGGCCCAGUCUUCUACUUCCCCUGCUGGACAUGACGGUGAACUACAAGGCCCAGUCUUCUACUUCCCCUGCUGGACAUGACGGUGAACUACAAGGCCCAGUCUUCUACUUCCCCUGCUGGACAUGAAGGUGAACUACAAGGCCCAGUCUUCUACUUCCCCUGCUGGACAUGACGGUGAACUACAAGGCCCAGUCUUCUACUUCCCCUGCUGGACAUGACGGUGAACUACAAGGCCCAGUCUUCUACUUCCCCUGCUGGACAUGAAGGUGAACUACAAGGCCCAGUCUUCUACUUCCCCUGCUGGACAUGAAGGUGAACUACAAGGCCCAGUCUUCUACUUCCCCUGCUGGACAUGAAGGUGAACUACAAGGCCCAGUCUUCUACUUCCCCUGCUGGACAUGAAGGUGAACUACAAGGCCCAGUCUUCUACUUCCCCUGCUGGACAUGAAGGUGAACUACAAGGCCCAGUCUUCUACUUCCCCUGCUGGACAUGACGGUGAACUACAAGGCCCAGUCUUCUACUUCCCCUGCUGGACAUGACGGUGAACUACAAGGCCCAGUCUUCUACUUCCCCUGCUGGACAUGACGGUGAACUACAAGGCCCAGUCUUCUACUUCCCCUGCUGGACAUGACGGUGAACUACAAGGCCCAGUCUUCUACUUCCCCUGCUGGACAUGACGGUGAACUACAAGGCCCAGUCUUCUACUUCCCCUGCUGGACAUGACGGUGAACUACAAGGCCCAGUAUUCUACUUCCCCUGCUGGACAUGACGGUGAACUACAAGGCCCAGUCUUCUACUCAGGAACCCAAGCUUUGAUCAUUUCAAUCAGCUGUGUAGUACUAGUUCUAGUAGAAGGCAAAAAUCAAAACGUGCACCCCUCGGUGUCCAUUGAGUUUGGUAACGAUGAACUAGCAUCUCCGCCGGCCGCCCCUCCUCCUGCGGCUAACCCCAGGGCAGCGGCUGGGAGCUCUGGCUCGGCGUCGGGGCAUGGUGGUGCUAGUUAGCUGUGUGUUUCUCAUUGGUUUG